GCCAGAGUGGUGGAACGGUAGACGCGAAGGACUCAAAAUCCUUUGAGCCGCAAGGCUCGUGUGGGUUCAAGUCCCACCUCUGGCA
rnacentral:tRNA from 1 species